rnacentral:lncRNA from 1 species
CCAGCGAUAGGUCUGAAGAAUGAGAACACGUUGUAGGACAAUGAAGAGGGUCUUCACGAAGAUCUGCAUGUCUGCGUCCUCUCGGCCGCCGCGCUGACGAGAUGGAGCUAAAUUUGGUUAUUACUUAAGUUAAACGUGCAAGUUUUCU